UAAAAAAAGAAAAAUUACAACCCUGCCUUAAGAAUAGCGAAUAGGGCUGGAGAGAUGGCUCUGUGGUUGAGAACGCGCUUCUCACAGAGGGCCUGUGUUUCCCGUCAUCCACAUCGGGUGGAUCACAACUUCAGCUGCAGGGGCUCCAGUGCCCCUGGCCUCCUCAGAGAUCGGUGCCUAUGCAAAUCAAAAGCUUGAUCCAACAGGCGGUCUCCACACUCACACUAUGAAUUCCCAUUUUUCCUGGAUGCCCCUCAUUACUUGAAUUCAGCAUUCUUCAAUACUCAACUUCAAUACUUCACUUUGGAAAAACCAAAAAGCUGGGAUAGCAAAAAAAAAAUCCUGUACAAUAAAGGAACUUCUGGAGGCAUCACUAUCCCUGACAUCAAGUUCUAUUACAGAGCUACAGUAAUGAAAAUAGUUUGGU